GGUGGCUCAAUGGUAGAGCGCUUGCCUCGCAUACAUGAGGCUCUGGGUUCAAUUCCUCAGCACCA
rnacentral:tRNA from 1 species